UGAAUGCACAGCUACCAAGAGUAAAAUCUGAGACUGGAACCUAGGCAGUCUCGUACCAAAGACUCCCUUCCUGUCCAGGCUCUGCUUAUUGCACUGGUCCUCUUGUCUGUGAUGUCUGAAACACCUAUAAAAUCCAUGCAAGAUCAGCGCUUGUGAUCCCUACUUCACAGAUGAAGGAAGAGGAGCUAAGAAGUUAAGUCACAUGGUCACAAGGUCACAAA
rnacentral:lncRNA from 1 species